rnacentral:rRNA from 1 species
CCCGCUGAACUUAAGCAUAUCAGUAAGCGGAGGAAAAGAAACUAACAAGGAUUCCCUUAGUAACGGCGAGCGAACAGGGAAGAGCCCAGCACCGAAUCCUGCAGUGUCUUGCUGUUUGGAACUGUGGUGUUUAGGUUGUUUUCUGCGUUAGCGCAGUCUCCUCAAGUUCGUUUGAUUGCGGCUCACAAAACAGCCAUAGAAGGUGAAAGGCCUGUAGAAUGUGUGAACUGUCUAACGUCUGAUACAACCUUGGAGUCGGGUUGUUUGGGAAUGCAGCCCAAAGCAGGUGGUAAACUCCAUCCAAGGCUAAAUACUAUCACAAGUCUGAUAGCGAACAAGUACCUUGAGGGAAAUUUGAAAAGAACUUUGAAGAGAGAGUUCAAGAGUACGUGAAACCGUUCAAAGGUAAACUGGUGGAGCCGAAAAUUUGCUUUAUGGGAUUCAACCGUUCAUACAAGCAGUCGAUUGCGAUAGUGAUUGCAAUUAGUAACACUUCGUGGUUCGACAUGAUAUGUUUGUUGAACUUGGUGCCUGUGGUUGUACAAGUAGGCAGUCUACCUCACCCGUCUUGAAACACGG